rnacentral:rRNA from 1 species
UACGUAGGGUGCAAGCGUUAAUCGGAAUUACUGGGCGUAAAGCGUGCGCAGGCGGUUUUGUAAGUCUGUCGUGAAAGCCCCGGGCUCAACCUGGGAAUUGCGAUGGAGACUGCAAGGCUUGAAUCUGGCAGAGGGGGGUAGAAUUCCACGUGUAGCAGUGAAAUGCGUAGAGAUGUGGAGGAACACCGAUGGCGAAGGCAGCCCCCCUGGGUCAAGAUUGACGCUCAUGCACGAAAAGCGUGGGGAGCAAACAGG